rnacentral:rRNA from 1 species
AUGGAGCUGAAGCCCGGCAUGUCGGCCCUCGUCACCGGCGGCGCCUCCGGCAUCGGGAAAGCGCUCUGCAUCGCUUUUGCACAAAAGGGUCUAUUUGUGACCGUGGUCGACUUCUCUGAACAAAAUGGAAGAGAAGUCACUUCGCUAGUUCAAAAGGAGAACAGAAAGUUUCAUGGAGAUCUUGGAGUACCGUCUGCCAUAUUCGUCAAGUGUGAUGUUUCUAUUGAAGGUGAUCUAGCUGCUGCUUUUGCGAAACAUGUAGACACAUAUGGUGGACUAGAUAUCUGCAUCAAUUGUGCUGGAAUUGCCAACAAAACAUUAGUUUAUUAUGAUACAUCUGACGGAACUAGGACAUGGAGGCAUGCCAUAAAUGUGAACUUUGUCGCUGUUAUUGAUGGUACUCGCAUUGCAAGUCAAAUAAUGCGAUCCCGGAAGAAGCCUGGUGUCAUAAUCAAUAUUGGUUCAGCUGCGGGCCUUUAUCCCAUGUUCGCCGAUCCCAUAUAUACUGGGACAAAAGGUGGUGUUGUUAUGUUUACUCGAUCACUUGCUCCAUUGAAACGCCAUGGUGUUCGUGUCAACGUGCUCUGCCCUGAGUUUGUUCAAACUAAUAUGGCUGAGCAAAUAAAUCAAAAAAUAGUACAUGCAACUGGUGGAUUUUUGAAGAUGGAGGAAGUUGUUAAUGGCGCAUUUGAACUUAUAAAAGAUGAGAGCAAAGCUGGUGCUUGCCUUUGGAUAACUAAGCGGAGAGGGAUGGAAUAUUGGCCAUCAGCAGAGGAACAAAGAAAAUAUCUGUUGAAUUAUACCAAGUCAAAAAGAACAGUAACAAAGAAUGUAUUUCCUAGCAUCCAAACACCUGAGUUUUAUGAGAAGAUAGUUGUUCACACACUCAGCCAUAAUUUCCGCAAUGCUACAAGACUUGAUCGUGUGCGAUUGAGAUUGCCCAUUGAACCACAAAGUGCGCUAGUUAAAAUAAUAUACGCUGGUGUAAAUGCUAGUGAUGUAAACUUCAGCUCCGGACGAUAUUUCAGUGGUAGUGCUAAAGAAACUGCUGCACGCCUUCCGUUCGAUGCUGGUUUUGAGGCUGUGGGAAUUGUUGCUUCUGUUGGAGAUGCAGUGAGCCAUGUCAAAGUUGGCAGUCCUGUGGCCCUUAUGACUUUUGGAAGCUAUGCUGAAUUUACGAUGGUUCCAGCCAAACAUCUUCUUCCGGUGCCAAGACCAGACCCGGAGGUCGUUGCUAUGCUAACAUCAGGAUUGACCGCUUCAAUUUCUCUUGAAAAGGCAGGUCAAAUGACAUCUGGGCAAGUUGUUUUAGUUACAGCAGCUGCUGGUGGAACAGGACAGUUCGCGGUUCAGCUUGCAAAACUAGCGGGCAACAAGGUUGUUGCCACAUGUGGUGGCGAAAGUAAGGCUGCAUUUCUAGCUUCCUUAGGUGUUGAUCGAGUUAUCAACUACCAGCAUGAGAAGAUCAAAGAUGUUCUGAAAAAGGAGUUUCCAAAAGGUGUAGAUAUUAUAUAUGAAUCUGUAGGUGGGGACAUGUUUGAUUUGUGCUUGAAUGCGCUCGCAGUCCAUGGACGCCUCAUUGUAAUUGGUAUGAUCUCUCAGUAUCAAGGAGAGGAGGGAUGGAAGCCGAAGAACUACACUGGACUAUGUGAGAAGAUUCUUGCUAAAAGUCAAACUGUGGCUGGAUUUUUCCUGGUUCAACAUGCUCACAUGUGGCAAGAUCAUCUUGACAAACUAUUUGAGUUGUAUGCCUCUGGAAAGCUAAAGGUCUCACUCGACCCUAAGAAAUUCCUGGGCGUUGCUUCCGCGGUGGAUGCGGUAGAGUAUCUUCAUUCUGGCAAGAGCGUCGGCAAGGUCGUCGUCUGCAUCGAUCCAGCUUACAGCCAGACCCUCGCUAAGCUGUAG